UCGGGAAUUUUGGGCAAUGGGCGAAAGCCUGACCCAGCAACGCCGCGUGAAGGAUGAAGUAUUUCGGUAUGUAAACUUCGUAAGAAUAGGAAGAAUAAAUGACGGUACUAUUUGUAAGGUCCGGCUAACUACGUGCCAGCAGUCGCGGUAAUACGUAGGGACCAAGCGUUGUUCGGAUUUACUGGGCGUAAAGGGCGCGUAGGCGGUGUGUCAAGUCAGUUGUGAAAUCUCCGAGCUUAACUCGGAACGGUCAACUGAUACUGUCACACUAGAGUACAGAAGGGGCAAUCGGAAUUCUUGGUGUAGCGGUGAAAUGCGUAGAUAUCAAGAGGAACACCUGAGGCGAAGGCGGGUUGCUGGGCUGAUACUGACGCUGAGGCGCGAAAGCUAGGGUAGCAAACGGGAUUAGAUACCCCCGUAGUCCCUGAGCGGGCUGGCAAGGCGCAU
rnacentral:rRNA from 1 species